UGGCACUCUUCUUUGUUGUGUCUCGCAGC
rnacentral:piRNA from 1 species